rnacentral:misc_RNA from 1 species
AGAGACAGGUGAAUCAUCGAAUCUUUGAACGCACAUUGCGGCCAUAGGUAUUCCUUCGGCCAUGCCUGUUCGAGCGUCAUUUACACCCUCAAGCCUAGCUUGGUGUUGGGCGUCUGUCCCGCCGUUCUCGCGCGCGGACUCGCCUCAAAGUCAUUGGCGGCGGUCGUGCCGGCCCCCUCGCGCAGCACAUUUGCGCUUCUCGGAGGCCCGGCGGAUCCGCGCUCCAGCAAGACCUUUCACGACUUGACCUCGGAUCAGGUAGGGAUACCCGCUGAACUUAAGCAUAUCAAUAAGCGGAGG